CGGGGUUUAAGGAUACCAGCCCGAACCCAGUGACUCAGCACUGGCGAGCGCGUGCGAGAUGAUGCCUGAUGUUGAUUUAAAGAGACAGGGCUUAGCAUUGGAAAGGAACCUUGAUCAGCGUGUUCCUACUCCAGCAGCCAGCAGUGCGGGAUUGCUCUUUCUGAUGGUAUAUGUAGCGGGAUGUGAAUGUCCUUUCUCGCCCAGGUGAAACUCAAUCCAUGAAGAAUGUGAGCAAUUCCUCACAGAGAUGCAGCCUAGUUGGUUCGGACUACACAGAGAACACAGAGGUGACUUGGUUUCCACUUUUGGGGAAAAAAGAAAACGAAUCAUUAACGUAACUGCUGAUUCAUGUUAUGCAAGGAGCAGCAAACCUUACCCAUUUGUCUUACAUGACAAUGGUGAAGAAGUAAAGGUCAAGACCAAUUAUAUGCUCAUACAUUACCAAAACAAGAUUCAUUACAAUGGUUGGGCAUGAGUUAGUCCUGUAAAAUUUCAAAACUACUAUAAUCAAAGUGUUCAACAUGUAAAUGUAUGUUUACUGUGUUUUAUGUUAGUAAACAUAACCAGAACCAGACAGAAGGCAAAUACAAAAACAGUAACAUUAAUUAUUUUUAUACUUUAUACUUAACAUUGACAUGCUUUAUAGUUGUAUUAUUUUCAAGAUAAU